CUGGAUUGACAUAGUUUGUGCUAUUGUUCACAGCAGUUGUUGCUGUUUGGGUCAUGGGGAUAUAACUCGGUUGUAAUAAAAGAUUUGGCUGUUGCGCCGAUGACUUGUUAUAUGCAUUGUUCAUCAACGAAAGUUCCUGUGAGUUAUUAGAUUGACUUUGGGAGUUAUUGAAUUGCUUCUUCUCAGAGGAAGACUUUGCAUCUUUGAACACCAGGCCUAGCUUCUCAAAUUCAACUUUGGCUUUCAUAUAAUGCACGUCAGAUGGGAAUUUCACUUGAAAUCUUUUCAUCACCUAAAUUUAUUAACAACAAAAUACGCUUCAUCAACACUCCAUUUUUUUUUUUAAAAAAAGAGGCCUCAAUGUGAUUUUGAAUAAAUCUGCUUUUGUUUUACUUACAUUAUUAGUGAAAGCACGAAUAUUCAUACACGGAGCGCGUGAAAGCAGAGUUAGACAUUUUUCCUUCGUUCCCGGUAUCAAUUGGUGCCAGAGAUCUAACAAGUUUAUACUUUGCUGUUUGUUUGUUAAAAAUAUUGAAUUUUUCUAGCAAU